rnacentral:lncRNA from 1 species
UACAUGGGUAACUUUACAGCAUUAACAAUUGCCAAACCUGGAAGAGAUUACUUUCAUAUUGGGUGAUCUGAGAAAUCUUGAUAGAAGUUUGCAUUUGCAUCUGAAAUAACUAACAUUCAGAAUUUUAAAGUUUUCAAAACCCAUUACACACUUUGGAAUUUUGAUCCUCAAAACUAGCCUAUGAAAUCACAGAUCACUGAUGUGUUGGGCAUUCAUGUGCAUUUCCCCCUUGCUCCUUCUGGAGGAACUGAACCAUAGCUAUGUGAUCUUGUUAUAAAUGAAGCUAGAAGAUACAGAAAAAAAAAUUACCCAUUGGAGGAAGUGCAGCUCACAUUCACCUCAGUUAAAGAAGGUGACAGGUAUUUCCAUCAUAUUCCUCCAAAUAGUAAGAAACAUCACAAUGUGUAAGAUGCACUGCAAGCCAACCAUUAUAAAGAUCAUUGCAACUUAGAGGAUGAAGGAGAGAAAUUUUCGAAGUGACUUGACAACACUCCUUCAAACUAAAUCAACUAAAUACGUGGAUACUGAUGACUUUAGUGGUGAACACAGAAAUAUUGAAAAAUCUGGUUUGUGAUCAAAGAAGGAAAAAGGGUAGCCAGGAUUGUAGAUUAUUAAUGUACCUAUACAUCUUGAGAAUUUUCUUUAAGAAGAGGUAUAUGGAAGAUCCUAGAGGACUAGAACAAGUGAAGUUUACUGUAAUGAGAGAUAGGAAACAACUUAGAGCUAAAGUAGAAAAUCAAAAGAAUGAAAAAGACUGAAAAUCAGACAAAUAGCAACCCCACCUUACCUAUUAAAAUGGAUUCUUGAUUCUGAAAAGUGAACAAAUAGAUAAUUGACUUGACUACAGUUUCUUUGAGAAAUGAAACUGAUUCAGAACAUUCAAAAACAAGGCCCAAAGAACCUAGAAAUCUAAUUCAAUGAAUAUUUGGAUUGUCUUGUCAAGAAAAUUUCCAUUAGGGGUGAUGUUAGGGUGUGAGUUCAUUUGCCAAAUGGUACAAUCCUUCUGAUGAUGGAACAUCAUAAAAAUAGCAUCAUCUUAUAAUGUAAAACAGUGAAGCAUAAGUAAGGGGAAAACAGCAGAAAGUUGGUUUUUGUGGCACAGUUGUGCCAAAUGUUUCUGAGAACAUUUAUUGUUGAAACUGGAAGGGUGACAAAUGGCUGUUAACUGGAACAGAUCAGUUGAUGGUGAUGAAGUAAACUUUAAUGAUUUGCAACAUUCCUAGAAAUUCUGUACAAAUUGAAUUAAAGUGUAAUAAGCUAAUGUGUAGAUUUGGGACUGGAGGCGAGUAGUCUAUGUGAGGUAGGCCGCUACCCAGUUAACAUGGAGGAGAAUGAAAAGGAUAAGGACACUUGAAAUACUAUGUUAUACACUCACUUUUUAAUGUGUGUAUUGUUCUGUCUUUUUCUAUCAUAUCUGAUUCUUU